UAUCUCUGUAGAGUCUGCAUAUCAAUAAGCGGAGGAAAAGAAACUAACUAGGAUUCCCUCAGUAACGGCGAGUGAAGCGGGAAGAGCUCAAAUUUGAAAUCUUCAAGGGUUCUACCUUUACGAAUUGUAGUUUAAAGAAGUGUUUUCUGUUGAGGUUUUGGUAAAAGUUCUUUGGAAUAGGACAUCAUAGAGGGUGAGAAUCCCGUAUUUGACCAUUACUUUCAACUCUGUGAUACACUUUCAAAGAGUCGGAUUGUUUGGGAAUGCAGUCCAAAAUGGGUGGUAAAUUUCAUCUAAAGCUAAAUAUUGGCGAGAGACCGAUAGCGAACAAGUACCGUGAGGGAAAGAUGAAAAGAACUUUGAAAAGAGAGUUAAACAGUACGUGAAAUUGUCAAAAGGGAAGCGUUUGACACCAGUGUUGUUUUCUCGAAAAUCAAUUAAAAAAGGCAGGAUUUUGUGUUGUAUUGACUUUAUCAGCUUUCUGCACUCUUUUCUUGUCUUUUCUUAAUGCACUUUUCGUUUAACAAGUCAACAUCAAUUUCUUUUGUUGUAAAAGGGUCAUUGGAAGGUGGCUUUCUUUUCGGAGAAAGUGUUUAUAGCCUUUGGCCUCUGCAAUCGGAGAGAUUGAGGUCUGCAGCGUAGAUCCUUCGGGGUUAGAUACAUUUGUGCUAAGUUAUAGCCUUUCAUAGACAACUUGUUGACUAUGAUCAGUCAUGUAGCUUACUCGCUUAUGCUAUUUUACCUACGCUUAGGAUGUUGACGAUCAGCUGAGCGCG
rnacentral:rRNA from 1 species